CUAACGUUACAAAAAUAAAAAUAUCGAUUCGACAUUUGACCCUGACUGUUUUCAUACUCCGUCCCGGUUCUAUUCCGUACAGUGCAAUCCUCAAAUUGAAGUAGCAAACUGCACGGCGGUACACAGUGCGUACAAUAUUUUUUCUCGGCCAAAGGACGAAAUGGGUUGUAUACAAUUUCGUAGAAUUUUAAUUAUUUUUAAAUUUUAAACAUUAGACGCGAUCUCGAGGCUUUUUACGCGACCCGAAAUCGGGUUGAACCGGUCGAAGACCACUGACGCGGCCACGGCGCCAACAUUAUUUUUAUGUUCGCGGCUCGCACGCCGAAUCGACGGUUUCGCGCCGUAGUGUUUAUUGUGUUGCGUAGCCCCGGGUAACGUUACGACGCCGUCAUCAUUGUUCGCGACAAAAAUAAAUGCCUAACGCGCCGACACGCGGUGGCAGUGGCGAGAAAUCCCGUAACGCGGCAUCGGUACUCUUUUACGCCGAUUGCCAUAAAAAAUAAAUACAUAUCAUGGUCCGUC